rnacentral:rRNA from 1 species
CGUCGGCACGAACCUUCGGGUUAGUGGCGGACGGGUGAGUAACGCGUGAGAAUCUGCCCUCAGGAGGGGGAUAACGGUUGGAAACGAUCGCUAAUACCCCAUAUGCCUACUGGUGAAAUGAAUUUCGCCUGAGGAUGAGCUCGCGUCUGAUUAGCUAGUUGGUGAGGUAAUGGCUCACCAAGGCUUCGAUCAGUAGCAGGUCUGAGAGGAUGAUCAGCCACACUGGGACUGAGACACGGCCCAGACUCCUACGGGAGGCAGCAGUGGGGAAUUUUCCGCAAUGGGCGAAAGCCUGACGGAGCAACGCCGCGUGAGGGACGAAGGCCUCUGGGCUGUAAACCUCUUUUCUCAAGGAAGAAGAUAUGACGGUACUUGAGGAAUAAGCCACGACUAAUUCCGUGCCAGCAGCCGCGGUAAUACGGGAGUGGCAAGCGUUAUCCGGAAUUAUUGGGCGUAAAGCGUCCCGCAGGCGGCUUUUCAAGUCUGCUGUUAAAGCGUGGAGCUUAACUCCAUCACGGCAGUGGAAACUGAAAGGCUUGAGUUGGUAGGGCCAGAGGGAAAU